UACGGAGGGUGCAAGCGUUAUCCGGAUUCACUGGGUUUAAAGGGUGCGUAGGUGGGCUGGUAAGUCAGUGGUGAAAUCUCCAGGCUUAACUUGGAAACUGCCAUUGAUACUAUCAAUCUUGAAUACCGUGGAGGUCAGCGGAAUAUGUCAUGUAGCGGUGAAAUGCUUAGAUAUGACAUAGAACACCAAUUGCGAAGGCAGCUGGCUACGCGGAUAUUGACACUGAUGCACGAAAGCGUGGGGAUCAAACAGG
rnacentral:rRNA from 1 species